rnacentral:rRNA from 1 species
AUUGAACGCUGGCGGCAGGCCUAACACAUGCAAGUCGAACGAGUGGCGGACGGGUGAGUAAUGUCUGGGAAACUGCCUGCUGGAGGGGGAUACCUACUGGAAACGGUAGCUAAUACCGCAUACCAUCAGAUGUGCCCAGAUGGGAGUAGCUUGUUGGUGGGGUAACGGCUCACCAAGGCGACGAUCCCUCGCUGGUCUGAGAGGAUGACCAGCCACACUGGAACUUAGACACGGUGCAGACUCCUACGGGAGGCAGCCGUGGGGAAGAGUGCACAAUGGGCGCAAGCCUGAUGCAGCCAUGCCGCGUGUAUGAAGAAGGCCUUCGGGUUGUAGAGUACUUUCAGCGGGGAGGCGUUACCCGCAGAAGAAGCACCGGCUAACUCCGUGCCAGCCGCCGCGGUAAUUC